GACGAACGCUGGCGGCGUGCUUAACACAUGCAAGUCGAACGGAAAGGCCCUGCUUUUGUGGGGUGCUCGAGUGGCGAACGGGUGAGUAACACGUGAGUAACCUGCCCCUGACUUUGGGAUAACUUCAGGAAACUGGGGCUAAUACCGGAUAGGAGCUCCUGCUGCAUGGUGGGGGUUGGAAAGUUUCUGCGGUUGGGGAUGGACUCGCGGCUUAUCAGCUUGUUGGUGGGGUAGUGGCUUACCAAGGCUUUGACGGGUAGACGGCCUGAGAGGGUGACCGGCCACAUUGGGACUGAGAUACGGCCCGGACUCCUACGGGAGGCAGCAGUGGGGAAUAUUGCACAAUGGGCGGAAGCCUGAUGCAGCAACGCCGCGUGCGGGAUGACGGCCUUCGGGUUGUAAACCGCUUUCGCCUGUGACGAAGCGUGAGUGACGGUAAUGGGUAAAGAAGCACCGGCUAACUACGUG
rnacentral:rRNA from 1 species